CUAAAUCCACCCAUUGAGAUCCACAUGAAGGUAUGAAAGCUUAUGCGAAAAGAAAGCUGGAGAUUUACAAUAACCCAGCUGAAUAACCUAGCUGAAAAGAAAGAUCCAGCUGGUUCACGAAUAUCUUGAUAGUCUUUUAGAUAGUUUAUUUUAACAUUUAUUGAAUUUUAUUACUACUAACCUUUUCUUUGAGAUCUGACGAAGUGAAACUUCAGAUGAUGUGUAUAUUUAUUGAAAUUGUGAGGUCGGCCGUGUAUAUGUUGUAAAUGUGAGAUGUGCAGGUCGGCUGUAAAGUCCCAGAUCAGCAAGUUAGAGAAAAAAUUAAUAAAUAAAAAUAAGCGAGGUCGGACUAGCAUUUCAGGUCGAGUAGGGCACAAUCCAUGGUCAUCUAACUUGAUUACACAGCAGCGCCCCUCAAAUAUCGGGACAACAUGGAGACAAUAAGAAAUGAUCAAAUGUCCGGGUUGAUCGAGUUGGAUGAACUUGGACUCUGUAUGUCGCCCCACUUGAAGACGAGGUGAGCUGAAAUACCUCGGUCGGCAUAGUCGGCAUUAGUCCGUCUGAUCGUCGAGAGGACGACUGAUCAAGCACCACUAGUAGGACCAUGAAUGGUUUCACUGGACAAAGCAUCGAAAAGACACUUGAUCAAAGCAUCGAGGGAUCUGCGUGGUCAAGCCCGUAGAUCAGACACUCAAGGUCUGGACAGGUCAGUUGGGUUAUGAGGUCGGCAAUCCUUCAACCUUUGAUUGAACAGGCCUGCCUUAGUACCAGGACGCUUGAUCGAGGCAUCGAGGAAUCUGUAUGGUCAAGCCCGUAGGUUGAAAAAUCAAGAGCUCAACAGGUCGGUCAGGGUACCAGGUCGGCAAGCCUUCAACCAGGACGACAAGCAUUCAAAAUUGAAUUUUGUACAAGCCGACAAUGCUACUCGAUCGGCAGAUCUCAAGAGAAGGCUAAACAGGUUGGGUCCUCGACAACCAUUUUGCUAAAGCCCUAAAAAAAAAAAA
rnacentral:lncRNA from 1 species